AGGGUAAUAGUUAUUUUAUAACAUUUAAUUUGCAAUUAAAAAGUAUUGAUUUUAUCAAUUUACCUU
rnacentral:tRNA from 1 species